AGAUUCUCUGUAUGCAAAAAACAACUUUCCAAAAUAACAUUUUUCUUUUCUGUUCAAACCUAUAUUUUCAUUUCUUACAUACCCUGACAUCAAAACAACAAAAUAACUUGCUCAAACCUACAUUUCUAUUUCUUACAUAACCUGACAUCAAAACAACUUCAACAUAAUUGUUCAAACCUAUAUAACCUGAGAUCAAAAUAACAAAAUUAACUUGGUAAGCAUUUUCCAUUCUCCCAACAACAAAAUAUAGGAUAUUUGCAUCCUUUACAUCUCAAUCAAUGACACAUAAAACAACACAAGUUGUCAUCGUCUCCAUGGGGGUAUAGAAGAUGAGGCUUGGCUGCUCUGUUGAGAAGAUGAUUGCCCAAAAGACGAAACUCCAAGUAACCUAGCUAACUGGGUCUGAGAAAGGGUAGAGUUACCUCUGAAAGAGAAUACACUUGGAGGCUUGAAAAUCUUCCUUGCCUGAGGUUGUGGCAUACUUUCAGGUCCACUUGGUCUUGAUUUCUUGAAUGGGACAUUGACGGCUGGAGGAACAUGUUGUACUUGUUCUGAAUGACUUGUUCUUGGUGUAACAUGUUGUACUUGUUCUGAAUGACUUGUUCUUAAUGUAAAUGCCCUCUUUCUUCCACUAGUACCAUUGCUUCCAGCUCCCCUAUUUCCAGCUUUUCUGUUUGUAGCAUUUGAUCAAUCACAUGGCAUAGGCAAUUUUCCUUUGGCUUUUGAUCUUGUCAAUGUUCUUACAGAUGCUGAUUGUAACCUACUCACAGGUGACUUUGACUGAGAAAUGUGCACUUGUUUUCUUGUACCCUUGUUCCUUGUACUUUUCCCUGUCCUUGGUGGAGUGCCAGCUUCUUGUGGAAGAGGUGCAGCAGUUUGUACUUGUGGAAGAGGUACAACAUUUUGAGAUUCAACAUUACCUUGAGGUGCAGUAGUUUGUACUUAUGGAGCAUUUACCUUCUAAAUCACUGGGUCUCUUGCCUUCCAUCUUGAGUUCGAACCUCUUCUUGGUGGAUUGGCAACAUGAGAAACACCCUCAUUACCUUGUCUAUUCACUGUUGCAGCUGGAGGUCUUGCUCUUAGAUGAAGUUUAGGCCUUCCUCAUUUGUUUCUAGGCUCACCUCUUCUUUUUCUUGGAGGAUCAUUUGGAGUCCCACGUUGACAUAGUAACAUUCUUCAUAUUGAUUAUUAAUAAACAUUCAUACUUUAAACAAUCACAUAGUAAAAUAAACAUUCACCUUUUAAAAUAUUGUACUCACCUUGACAUGUUCUGAUAUUGUGGUUGUAACCCCCACAACCACUACACCUAUUGUUCACUUGCUCAGUAGCAGGUUUACUCUCAUUUGCACCCCUAAUCCUGUUUACUCUAGGUCGGCCAGGUGCUCUUGGUCUCAGAGGUGGGUAAAUCUCUUCAUUAUUCUACAAAAAACAUACAAAAAUAUUAUUGCAAGUAUAGUCAAAUACAUAUAUAAAAGAAUGUUUGUUAUAAAACUAACCUCAGGCCAAUCAGAAUCCCCUAGAAUUGGAUAUAUACAACUACUGUAAGCCUUCUUGUAAGUUUCAAUCUGUGAUCUCACUUACAACCUCUUGCUCAACCCUUGUAUCACUACCUACCUCUUUCUUAGCUAUUCUAUCACUGUCAAUCUCUUUCUCAACUAAUCUAUCACUGAUAACCUCAUCUCUAUCUACAACAACAUCAUCAAAUUGUUCCUCCUCAUAAUCAUCAUCAUCAUCACUUUGAAAAAAAAGGAACUUCAUACUCAUUGCCAUCACCAACAUUAUCAAUAUCAUAUUCCCUUUGUCCUCCAUUAUCAGUUGUUACUAAAAUAACAUUAUUCUCAAUCCAAAAUCACCAACAACAUCUGUCAAAAUCAAUUACUUAUAUAAAUAACUAUUCAGCAUGAAAUUUAGAGUAUUCAACAAGUUGUAAAAACUUAACAAUGAGAAAAUAUAUAAAGUUUCAAUUUCAUAGAACAAACAAGAUGAACAUAUAUAAACUUACCUUUUUCCUGCAGCACAAUUUUUCUCAACCAAUAAAUCCCCAAGUUGCUUCUCAAGUGGACAGUUAGCAACUUCUGAAAACAUCAAGAGAGGAUCUGUGAGAGCUUGCUUAUAUUCAUAACAUUCAGAAAUGUAGAAAUUGAGGUUGAAUUUGAACUCUUGCCACUUUGUAGAAGUAGUAAGAGUUUGAAGUAUGCAGUCCACUACCAACAUAGUGGUCCCCUCCACUUUUGGUACUUUACUUGCCUUUUUCCGCAUCACUUAAAAUAUGUAUUCUAUUGGGAGAUGAGG
rnacentral:lncRNA from 1 species